AUUGAACGCUGGCGGCAUGCCUUACACAUGCAAGUCGAACGGCAGCACGGGGCAACCUGGUGGCGAGUGGCGAACGGGUGAGUAAUGCAUCGGAACGUACCUUUCAGUGGGGGAUAACGUAGCGAAAGUUGCGCUAAUACCGCAUAUUCUGUGAGCAGGAAAGCAGGGGAUCGCAAGACCUUGCGCUGAUUGAGUGGCCGAUGUCAGAUUAGCUAGUUGGUGAGGUAAAGGCUCACCAAGGCGAAGAUCUGUAGCGGGUCUGAGAGGAUGAUCCGCCACACUGGAACUGAGACACGGUCCAGACUCCUACGGGAGGCAGCAGUGGGGAAUUUUGGACAAUGGGGGCAACCCUGAUCCAGCCAUGCCGCGUGAGUGAAGAAGGCCUUCGGGUUGUAAAGCUCUUUCGGCCGGGAAGAAAUCGCACGGGCUAAUACCCUGUGUGGAUGACGGUACCGGAAUAAGAAGCACCGGCUAACUACGUGCCAGCCGCCGCCGUAACAC
rnacentral:rRNA from 1 species